UACGGAGGGGGCUAGCGUUGUUCGGAAUUACUGGGCGUAAAGCGCGCGUAGGCGGACCUGCAAGUCGGGGGUGAAAGCCCGAGGCUCAACCGUGGAAGUGCAUUCGAAACUGCAGGGCUAGAGUCCUGGAGAGGAAGGUGGAAUGCUUGGUGUAGAGGUGAAAUUCGUAGAUAUCAAGCGGAACACCGGUGGCGAAGGCGGCCUUCUGGACAGUGACUGACGCUGAGACGCGAAAGCGUGGGGGAGCAAACAGG
rnacentral:rRNA from 1 species